GAUCCGUCUCCAUUUUUCUUCCAUGGUCCGCGAGUCGUAAAAUUCAAAAGUUUGCAGUGUACAAUCGAUUAAUUUCGCCUAUAAACCUACGAAAUCGAUCAUUUUAGUGCCCGAAUUGUGUCGCAUUCGUUGCGCUGGCGAACUGGCAAUAGAUUUUCGGUGUUAGUUUUAGCCGGGUGGUGUUUUCCGGUGCACAGGUCCAAUUUUUCCACCGAGGGAGUGCAUUCAUUAAUUUUUCGUGAGACCUUGCCCAUUCGUCGGGUAAUUUACCUGCAGCAGUCGAGAAGAAGAAGAAGAGGAAACCCGUCAGCAGCAGCAGCGAGUAGCAGAUUCCAAUCCAAUGGGUCGCAAAAAGAAGAAGGCGUCCAAGCCCUGGUGCUGGUACUGCAACCGGGAGUUUGACGAUGAGAAAAUUCUGGUUCAACACCAGAAGGCGAAGCAUUUCAAAUGCCACAUCUGUCACAAGAAACUCUACACCGGACCGGGCCUCUCGAUUCACUGUAUGCAGGUACACAAGGAAUCGAUCGACAAGGUGCCAAACUCGCUACCGAACCGGUCCAACAUAGAGAUCGAAAUCUACGGUAUGGAGGGUAUCCCGCCGGAUGAUAUUCGGGAGCACGAACGGCAAAAGAAUGGUGGCGGUGGAGGCGGCGGUCAACGAUCGGAUUCGGAAGACGACGAACCGGUUAGCAAGAAACCGAAACCAGAUGGUCCUGUUGCACAGGGCAUGGUUAUGCAGAACAUGAUGCCCCCGCAUUUACAACCCUACGGAAUGAACCCAAUGAUGGCAGCGAUGCCUUACAUGGUUCCUCCGGGUAUGCCUAUGAUGCCGCCGAUGAUGGGUGGACCGAGGCCACUGUUUCCGGCAGCAGCGGCAUCGGCGACGACGAUAUCUGCAAAUCCCGCAAUCAAUAAAGCCACCUUCCCAGCCUACAGUAGUGCGACGAUUAGUGCGCCCCCGACGACCAAUGCAGCGAAUGCAGCUGCAAACGCGGCCGCCGGCGGUGAUGCGUCCAAAUCUUCGACUGUGAUACCCGCCACUGGUACGACAUCCAAGAUUGUGCAUCCGCCUGAAGAUCUCAGCUUGGAGGAAAUUCGUGCCCGCAAACCACAUUACCAGAAAAAAAUCAGCCUAGCAACGCAACAGCUACUACACCAGAAGCAGCAGGAACGGCAGCAGCAAAAUACGGCAGCUGCAGUGGCCGCAGCAGCAGCCGCGGCACAGCAACAACAGCAACAGGCGCAACUGAAGGCGCUUUCAUCGGCGGCUGCGGCCAGUGGGACAAACUCGAUCGUGACCAGCUUCCCCGGCAAGGACAGCCGGUUGCUAUCGCCCCAUGAGCAUCAUCGUAUGUUUUGUUUUCAGCAAGCCGCUGUGAUAGCGCACGCGCAAGCUGCUGCCGCCAACCACCACCAGAAGCAGAUGGAAGAGCUGAACCGAGCGGCAAUGAUCCAGCGGUUUCAGGCAGCCAAUGCGGCGGCUGCUUCCGCUGCCGCAGCCCGACCCGGCGUACCAAUAGGAAUGGUACCAAUGUCGUUAAAUCCUCCCAUGCAGUUAAUGCCUCCAAUGAUGAGGCAGGGUUUGGCUCUUCCCCCUGGGGCCCAGCUGAUAGGUGGCAACCUUCUGCGCCCUGGUCCUCCACAGAUGGGUCUUGGUCCAGGAAUUAUUUGAGAAAAUCUUUCAACCUUUUCACGUCCAUCUGUGAGGGGAACUUCUGUCAACCAUAAAAGUGAAUAAUUAAAUCUACAUACAAGAAAAAACUGUAACCGUGAUGAAUACAUAUUAAUCUUUUAAUAUAUAUCCCACCAUUCAAAGUGUGGUACUUGAUAAGGAAAUAUGCAAUUAAUUUCAAAUUAAAUCUGUCAAAAACAUGCUUUUCGACUUCGUUUUGCUGUUCCAAAUCAAAAUUUUGCUUCCUUUCGAUAUUUGGCCAAAAAAGACUAGAAUUUGGAAAACAAAAAAAUCAGGAUUUUUGGCGAACUAUAACAAACAAAGUGAUUGGUUGAGAUCGGCAGAAGCGUGCGUGCGUGCGUGUAUGACUGUCAUUUCACGAAAAUCAACAUCUCAAUCGACUCCAUUUGUUGCAGCCAUGUGGUCUAAUAACGCAAAUUCCGGGCGUUCCGGGGAUGAGCAUGAUGCUGCCGGGACCCCCGAUGUUGGGAAUGUUGCCGCCCCGGUUCCGGUGAUCAAUUCAGCAGAGUCUUUUAGCACCGCCAGCACCAACACCGGCGGCCAGUCUGGCAACACUGGCCCAAGCAGCACCACAGACACCAGCUUUAGCGGCAGCACCACAACCAUCACCGAUUCUAUCGACUGCACAUCCAACUGCAUUGGUGCUACAGACCGGUCCGGGAACUCUGCUGAACUUUGCCAUGCCGUUGCUGUUUCCUUGAGGAGAGUCGAUCCUCGCUAUCAUAGGAACAGAUGGACGGACUUCCAUGGCGUGAACCGAAGGCGACGCCUCUCAUACACUUCUUCAACUACUACUACUACUACAACAAGCAAGUGGCAAUUUUUUAUUCUUCUUUAGUAACUUAUCAAUGUAGUUGUACCACGUAAUUGGUGUACCAUAUGAAAAAAAAAGUAAUCUAUAGGAGACUCGUAGGGCCUUAAAGUGUAAUUUAUAGAUUUUCGGUUGUUUUUGAGGUGCGCCUCAUAUCUAAGCUUUUUCUUUCUGCAGAACCAAGAGAAUUUAUGGAUACAUUAUAGUUAUCAAGUGCACUAGAUAUUGAUAUUAUUGGACUAGUUUGUAAGAUAACCCCUGCGUGGAAUUCAAAUGUCACAUCAUUUCGGCCAUAAUGUUAACGGCAACAAAAAUAACUGCGCGUGCCAAGCUGAGACUUGACAAUUUUAAUUUAUUCACUUCAGGAUUAAAAAAAAACAUUAAAGUUGUAUCGACCAUGAAUAGAGCUUACAGGAUAAUUGGUUUAGUUCAAAACUUCAUGUAAUUACAUAGGAUCGAUGAUUAUUUUGGACGAAAUAGUUAUUUCAAUGCCGCUUUACAUUACUUCAAUCAUUCGGUCAAAUAAGAAUGGUUAAAUGUAUAGUUUCUGUUUGGAAUAUUAUUGGAGUCAUUCUACUAAGCUAAAAUUGAAAACAAGUACACAAAACCAAGUAAUUAUUAGUUUCCAAAAUAACCAUCAAAUCAAAAACCGAUAUUACAACCUUUGGUCGAAAGUAGUUUCUUGUUUUCUAUUUCGUAGAGGCAGCCAAUGAUGAUUGUCGUUAAUCAUAGCCGUACACAUUAUAUAUCCGACAGGUUGUGUCGUUUUCGUCUAAUUACAUCGCGUCACGAAACUAUGAGCGAACAAAUAAGCAAUGAUUUCCUAGUAUCACAAAUGAUAUGGCUACAACUGCUGCUAUCACUGAUAGGACGAGUAGCUGGACGCACUCCGGUUUCGCUCAUCCGAGAAACCUGCAGCGCUGCACCGCAAGAGAUAAAAAACCCAUACUCGGAAACACACAAACGUUGCUACCAAUUUGUUGGGUAUGUCAUCAAAAUUUCACUCUUUAAACGUAUUACCUACCUAUAAAGAAAACAAAAAAGCUUUCACUAUUUUUGCGUGCCGUUUGUAUGAUCGUACUGUAGCAGGGAGAUUUCUAUCCCUCUUUUUUCUCCUUUCUAGGAUAAUAUGAAGAAGAUUUAAAGGUGUAAAGCGCAAGCUUUCAGAUAUUGUAAAGCAAACAACUAAGGUAACAUAAUUCAUUAUAGGGAAAUUUCAAAAACAAAUACCAUGAAGAAAAAUAUGGCGAGACCAUGGAGAAAUUGUUAGUUGCUCAAUAGUUUACUGUCAGUGCCACCCAUAUUUUUCUUCGAUCUGCAAUUUUGGACAUCUUUUCAAACGCUAAUUCUUGUGAGGUUGAACUUCAAACUGUAGAAAUUAUAUAGGAGAGAAUUGUUCAGAUUCGUUUUCAAUUCCUGUAGAGAAGCACACGUUACUCAAAUCAUAAAUUGUAAUCCACGAUGAGAAAGUUGUUCUAAGAAAUGUUAGGGUAGCUUUGUAUUUGGCUCAUAUGUAAAACUGGUAACAAACUCACAAGAGCAUAAUUAUGCAUCCACACACGUACGAUUACUAACCGUUCUUAUCUUAGGUGUAAGCGGCCGACAGAUUAUCAAUGAACCAGACCAAUAACCGCAUCUUCAUUUUCGUUCUAUUAUACGUUUCGUUCGAACAGAGGAACUAUUCCAGUUGAACCAUAAAUUCCCGAACUAUGUUGCUGUGCGAGAUUGAUCCCUUCAGAUAAUAUUCGCAAAUAGGUAUCAACCUAGAACAGUAAAAAAAACCCUUCGAAACAGUAGGUACACUUCGUUUUAUGCACUGAAUGCCAUCUUUACAAUUACUUGUGUAUAUUCAUGAUUAUAUCCAAACAGAACAGCUCUCAUGAACUUGACAAAACAAAACACAUUCGACUGUAAGGUAAGGGGCUCUUAAAUUUCAUUUUUCCAUCGUUAAAGUUGUCCCAAAUUAACCAACGACCAUUAGAUUUACAAUUCUUGCUCGAUUUGGAAGCCGAUUGAAUUUUCUAGUUUUCUUAGUAUUCAAAGUACUUCGGCAUACGCGUAGGAAAUUUUUAUUAUCGUAUCUUCCAAAAAAUUUUGGCAGAAUCUGAAAGUUUUAAGGGAUAGUUGAAGUUUACAGUUUCAAUCAAAUGUAGUAUUCAGGUUUUUGGCAGAUUCACAAUUGAAUAAAAUGCGAAAGUAAAGUCACUCAGAUAAAUUGGAUUACAGCUUAGUUUGCUCCACCAAUUUUUCCAAUGGUGCACAUUUCGGUGUAUUGGCCUUUUUUCAUUGUUUCAUGUCAGUUUUUAUUAUAUUUAUUUUGAAAAUUUUAAAUGCAUGUUGAGUUUUAGCGUGAAAAAAAGACACAUUCAGGACAACUGCAAUCGUAUUUCGAUAAAUAAACACAAAAUUCGUUCUGUUAUGGUCCAGAAGCUUUCAUUGUGCGUGACUGUGUGUAAUUGUGGUCAAUUUUUUUUUUGUUCGAAAGAGAAUGAUAAGAUCUUUGAAUCAGUCCUUUAUUGUGCAGAUUAAAGUUUUAAAAAUUUUAAAUUUAUAUCAUUUGUAAAUUCGUGAAAUUACAUCAACCGUCAUUCUUCACGGAGUUUACGAUCAUUUAGCUAGCGUUCUUUUCCCAGGAGUUAAAUGUUUAUCAUCUAACGAGACCGAGCAGAUUUGAUGAUUCUGAUAGAUUCCGAUAUGUCCAAUCAAUGAACAAUUAAAUCGAUCAAUCGCAAUUAGAAAAGUUUUUAAGUUUCAAAACUGAUGUAUGUGAGUUGGUAUCGAGGUUUUCUCAUCACUGUUUUUUUUAAUAAUCUUUCAGUUCCUUAUGAGAAACGAAGAUAAGUGGAUUAACUUUUCAUUCUGGUUGCAACUGGUGACAGUAUUUGUUAAACAAGUUUUUCGGUGACGGUUUUCAUUUUCAUUAGGGUCUUUUCAUUGGUAGUAUUUAACAUCAAAAACAGAGUGAGAAGAAAACAUGUAAUAGUAGCUCCCUCCCAUAUCAUCCGUAACGUAUCUACACCAUCGUUUUCAAAGUAGACUUACUGAAAAUUGAUUCCUAUUUAUCUAAGUAUAAAAAAUAACUGACUCUUUGAGCGCGUAAGUACACAAAUAUUCCAUAUUUAAUUUAAUAGUGAGUAUUCACUUAUGAUUUUUUUAAAACUAUUUUUCCUGAUGAAAAGGCAAGUAAAAUUUCUCUUGAAACUAUUGGUUUAUGUAUCGGUAGAACUAAGUAAUUCUUGUUUGUAAGUACAUUUGCUAUUUUUUAAAUUUAUUAAACGAGAAUAUGUUUUAGGAAUGACACUGAUAAAUAUUUGUGUAGGAAUGAACGUCGCUUUUUCUACAAUGAUAUUUUGAACUUUCGUUCUAUGGCUCCAGAGAGUAUAUUUAGCUGCCUUUAAAAAUAAACCAAAAAUUAAUCUGUCUAUCAAGAAAACUUGGAAACUUUUUUCAUUCAAUAACUUCUCAAUAAAGAUUGGCUUAGAAACUGAUGAAAUACUAAAACGCCAAACGUUUCUUAUGUUUGGCUUUUUAGUAUUUCAUCGGUAUCUUUUAUUAAGGCUGAUUUCAGUUGUUUCAAAUGUUCCAUACUUGAUUCUCUGGAGCCCUUUCCAGAAUUUGUAUUUUGCUGAAUGAUUUUAAUAGUGUGUACUCCCAGCUAUGCCUCGUCAGUACUCAUUCCGAAAAGCAGUUCUCGUGUUCCAAAAGAAACAUGCAUUUGUAUCCGUACCUUCCUUAAGCCUAACGUCACCAAUAUGCUUCAACUUAAUCUGUCUACAACUAUGUUUUCUUUUACUUUUUCUUUAUUUUUACUUCUUCAAGAUAAGCAAGAGCGUCAUUGGCUCAAGGUUAACUAAAACAAAACUCCCACAAAUCCCACACGUGUCGUUAGUAGCGUGAAUAAUCCACCCGAUAGGGAGAGCGAUCGAACCGAUAAGUACCCUUUUUGAAUUUCUUCUACUCGUCUAUACUUCGUUAUAAUUUCUCCGCGCAUAUUCGAAGGAACACCAAUCGAGCAGUAGCACGUUGAUUAGGUCUAACCCUCGAAACUAAAAACAACUCUUCAUUACUUAGCUCGGUUCAAGUGCUAGGUGUGGCGCGAAAGUGUAUGUCCAGCUCCCGGCAGGUGAUAUUGAACCUAUCACAAACUUGAUGUUGGAAAUUGAAGAAAUUCUUUGGUUUCCCUUGCGUUCUAAGCCAGCUGGUCAAAGUUCCGGUUCAUGUGAGGCGUACCUCAUAAGAUCGGGAACGUGCAAGGAUCACUGGUCAAAUGCAAAACGCAGGCGACACAUCGAAGUCAUUGGAUUUUAGAGAAACAACAUGCUACUUGUGGUUAUGGGUUUUCUUAAAGAAGUUUUUCUUAUUUAGAUCACUUGAAUGUCGCAUUCCAAUGUACCAAGCAUGUGUCACAUUAAGUUUGUUGACUGAAAAGUCCCUUGCUGACUACCCUUUGGGGUCAGCAGGUGAUGGCCUAAAAGCUUCACAGCCCGGUUUUUUGUUCAUGAUAUACUUUAUAAUAAUUAUGCUGAUAACUUAGUACACUUACCGAUUGUUGCCUUGUUUCAAUGUGGCGGAGGUUCACGGUGGUUUGUUUGAUAUAAUUAUCUUCUUUUUUAUACAUAGAGUACAUGUCUUUGUAUUAUUUUCUGUUUUGUUCAGCAAGUAUUUCGAUGAAUGGCAUUCGGAGGCAACCCUCGGGAACAAAGUACAAAAAACUUCCAAAGGGCUGUUGGACUUUUCAUCCCUGCCGCGGAGAGACCGCUUUCUUGGCUAAUCAACAAAAUAGGUUAUGGAUCAAUUGAUCUCACUAUGUCCAGUGUAUUCUAUCUAAAGGUCAAUUAAAUAAUAAAUUUUCUAAAAUUAUUCCAGCAUCAGAGCUCAAAAGAGGACAGUGUUUUUUUUUUAUUUUCCACUGCAAGAUGAUUUAUUGAAUGGCUCUACUACCUAUUAAGUUUGUACAGAAUGAACAUAAUGAUGCUGUUUUAUUUUUUUCAAUUUCGGCAUUGUUGAUUUCUGUUUUUUUUUCUUCAAAAAAAAAUUACAGAUAUUUACCGAAAAGGUUAAAAUUUAUUUCCUUCUUUCUUGUAAAAGUUACGUAUUUAGUUUUUUUUUUCAAAUCGAGAUUCACGAAUAAUAAAGUUGAUGUAUAGUAGGAAAAUCUUUAUUUUUUGUUCGCAAUUUAUUAAAAUGAGAACAUGAAUCGCAUUGAUGGCAAAUCAAUCGCCUGAUCAAGCUAGAUACCGUAGUCAUCGGAAGUUUAUCUUUAAAGGAAAAAAAAUGUGAUAUGACUUCGAUCCAUAAAAAUCCUAUUUGUUUUUUUGGUUUGACUGUAGCUUAUAGAGCGAACAUUCAGUGCUGAUUCAUGUUUUCAUUCUGAAACUAUUCGAUACAUCAUCUUCACUAGUUUGCGUCAUUCGCUCCACAACAUGAACUAAUUUCCCUUACUUUCGGUAUCCUUAUUCAUGGUUUUUCUUCAAUCUGUUUCCUAAUUUUCCCAACCCAUUAUUGUUUUGAUUGCUAAGGUCGGUUUGGUAUGCAUAAAUAAACCAUUUUCCAUUACUCAAAAUAUUGCUCAUCAUCAAAUAACAAUACAUCGUAGGUACAACCACUCUUAUUUUUCCUUUGGUCGGUAAACAGGGAUUAUGCUUUGUCAUAAGUUUCAUCUUUUCUUAGAAAUAAGUUUUGUGAAAAUAUUUUUUUUUCGCGACACUAUCCAUAUUUUGAGCAAUUUCGUUCAAAUUCGUUCAGAUAAUUGCAGUUGAAACAAUACAGGUUGAAGCCCAAAACUAAUAAGGUAGAGUUUCAUGCGUUCAUUGAGAUAAAUAUAUGUGUGUGAUUGUUGCCGUAAAUAUGUAUUCCAGUCAAGGAGUGAGUAAUUUGUUCAUUUCUAAAAUAAAAGCAAUCAAUGUGUGCCCGACGACGGUACACCAAAAAGA